UUGCCCUCUUAAGGCUGGGUGGUGCUUUAAGUGGCCAAUACCGAAGGGUAUAGUAGUUCUCUCUUAACCCCAGAGGGGAGGAUGAAGAUCCUUCUCUGGCUCGUGUCAGGAGAAACAUAA